CCUACGGGGGGCAGCAGUGGGGAAUAUUGGGCAAUGGGCGGAAGCCUGACCCAGCAACGCCGCGUGAAGGAAUAAGGCCUUCGGGUUGUAAACUUCUUUUAUUAGGGACGAAGGAUGUGACGGUACCUAAUGAAUAAGCCACGGCUAACUACGUGCCAGCAGCCGCGGUAAUACGUAGGUGGCAAGCGUUGUCCGGAUUUACUGGGUGUAAAGGGCGUGUAGGCGGGUAGGCAAGUCAGAUGUGAAAGAUCCAGGCUUAACUUGGAAAGGUCAUUUGAAACUGUGUUUCUUGAGUGAUGGAGAGGCAGGCGGAAUUCCUAGUGUAGCGGUGAAAUGCGUAGAUAUUAGGAGGAACACCAGUGGCGAAGGCGGCCUGCUGGACAUCAACUGACGCUGAUGCGCGAAAGCGCGGGGAGCAAACAGGAUUAGAUACCCCAGUA
rnacentral:rRNA from 1 species